UACGAAGGGUGCAAACGUUGCUCGGAAUUAUUGGGCGUAAAGCGCACGUAGGCGGCUCUGCAAGUCGGAUGUGAAAUCCCUCGGCUCAACCAAGGAAGUGCAUCCGAAACUGCGGAGCUUGAGUACUUAAGAGGAUCGCGGAAUUCCCGGUGUAGAGGUGAAAUUCGUAGAUAUCGGGAGGAACACCAGUGGCGAAGGCGGCGAUCUGGGAAGAUACUGACGCUGAGGUGCGAAAGCGUGGGGAGCAAACAGG
rnacentral:rRNA from 1 species